GAGGGUAUAGCUUGGUGGUAGACUUUGAGCCUAGCAUGCACAAGGUCCUGGGUUCCAUCCCCAGUACCUCCA
rfam:Camelus ferus unplaced genomic scaffold scaffold1254, whole genome shotgun sequence.